CACGUAGGGGGCAAGCGUUGUCCGGAUUUAUUGGGCGUAAAGAGCGUGUAGGCGGCCAGGUAGGUCUGGUGUGAAAACUCGAGGCUUAACCUCGAGAUGUCAUCGGAAACCAUCUGGCUAGAGUCCGGAAGAGGAGAGUGGAAUUCCUGGUGUAGCGGUGAAAUGCGCAGAUAUCAGGAAGAACACCAAUGGCGAAAGCAGCUCUCUGGGACGGUACUGACGCUGAGACGCGAAAGCGUGGGGAGCAAACAGG
rnacentral:rRNA from 1 species